AGAGUUUGAUCCUGGCUCAGGAUGAACGCUAGCUACAGGCUUAACACAUGCAAGUCGAGGGGCAGCAUUUUAGUUUGCUUGCAAACUAAAGAUGGCGACCGGCGCACGGGUGAGUAACACGUAUCCAACCUGCCGAUAACUCGGGGAUAACCUUGCGAAAGUAAGACUAAUACCCAAUGAUAUCUCUAGAAGACAUCUGAAAGAGAUUAAAGAUUUAUCGGUGAUGGAUGGGGAUGCGUCUGAUUAGCUUGUUAGCGGGGUAACGGCCCACCAAGGCAACGAUCAGUAGGGGUUCUGAGAGGAAGGUCCCCCACAUUGGAACUGAGACACGGUCCAAACUCCUACGGGAGGCAGCA
rnacentral:rRNA from 1 species